CUUUUAAAAGAGCACCAAAACAUGGCUCUUUCCCCAGGCCUUGGGGCCUUCGUUUUUAUCUCUCUGGCUGGGGGGAAAGUUUGCUGUGGCUCCCUCUGAAUGAUGCUGUCUUACUGAUACUGUCAAUUUUUUGUUUUUAAUACGUUAAGCCACCAAGACUUGCUGGAGCUGGGUGGCCUAGAAAUUUGAAAAACAAACCAGUAAAGUGAAGUAGCAACUGAAUUUAUCUUCCUAGACCCCGGCACUCACAGGGACAAUGUCUGCAUCCCUGAGUCAUGGUCAUGGUCUUGCGCUUGCUAGUGGGAAAGGGCCGUGACACAAAUAGGCAGAAUGUUAAAGUGCAGAGACAUCGCACAGACAACUGGAGCCCAUAUUGCCAAGGCCAUGGCUUCGUAUGGUAACACGGCUGUAAAAGUUGGACCAGCUUGAUGAAUUCCGUGAAUUCUGACAGUGCUGAGAAGGCCUUUGGAGGCAAAACAAAAAAAUAAUGCCAUCCUAAGUGAAGGAGGAACAGACUUCUCUCUGGAAGCAUUAAGAAUGAAGCAAAAAAAUUAGAGUCCAUAAUGGACUUUUAAUACGAAGGCAAGAGCCCCAGAAGAUAUUCUGGUGCUUAGAAAAAUUAAGGGCAAUCAAAAAAGAGGUGGUUGAAAGACAAGAUGAUGAGAUCCUCUCACUGGCAACACAGGUGCUUUUAAGAACUGAAAGAGAGUGACCGUGCUGGUGAGAUAAUGUCCUUUGGGUCAUGGAGAAUCAAGCAGCUGCAUGACUAACAGCAAACACAUGGGAGGGACCACUUUCUACAUCCUGUCACAUAUCCUGUCUCCUGUAGAACAUCAAGGGGAAUCUCUUGCCCCAGAAAGAGGGGAAGGUUCUCUUCUCAGAUGUGGAUUACGUGAACACUUGGAAGGGUGGCUGAUCACCACUGAUCUCUUUCGGCAGAGAUCGGUGACUGCAAGUGAUUGUGCUUCUCCCUCCCAAUUGUGAAGCCAUGAAAA